ensembl:lncRNA
AGGUCUACAAUAUUGUCGAAGUCCGGACUCGGGUCCAGGUAUUUGAAGGACUGGAUGCAUUUGGGGUAAUCAUGUCUUCUCUGGGCGCACGGAGAGAGUUUAAAACCGGACCGCUGUACUUCUUUGACCAGGUAGGUCAGUCCCUUGCAAUUCAAAGAUGAAGUAAGUUGUGUGCUUAUAGUAGGUCCACUUUUGAAUAAGGUCUAUAAAUGUAUCUUAUCUCCAGCCAACAGCGCGGGAUCGAUCAUCGGGGACGCGCGUUCUGCAUUUUAGUUUGGCCGACGAAGGCGCCCGCUGGGCAGAAACAGUGCAUAGCUCUUCAAAGAACAAACUUUGUUUUACUAAAGAAGGCGACGACGAGAACAAUGCCCAUACACAGUCACGUGGGUCAUUUGGGAAGAAUAAAGACCACACGGUCAACGGUGAAUCAAACGUUUGUGAUAGGAUCCCAGACCAGAAAGUGGUCGAUCCGUUGGGAGCCUAUAAGGAUGCUGCCCCUGAGCUGCUGGGGGAACUGGAGUCCCUUCUCUCCCGGUACCAGUGGUCCGAGGAGGGCUGUAUUCCACGGGGAGUCGUCAACAUCCUCAACUGCUCGUCACAAGAUCUGACCGCUGUUGUGUUGGAAAGUGGGAAAAGUCCCUUUCAAGGGGCCGACUGCGCAAAACACACUCUGAAUCUGAAAUCACAUAUCCCAGUGGCCGAUAGGAAUACGCCGAAAGAGCUCAUCGUAGAGAGCGUGAGAAAACUGAAAAAGAAGAAGUCCUCCCCAAAACCUCCCUUCGAGAGGAAAGUAAAACCGCGACCAGAUUUGCCAACGAGGGCUUUUUCCCCUGACGCACACAAAGACAGAGCUAAUGCCUCUUCCAGCAUCAGCUUCUCCAUGUCUUCAAAGAUCUGCAAGGACCAAGGAUGGAUCGUGGAGGCCGCGCGGCUGUGCUACGAGGAGCCCCAGCGGAGUGCCGUGUGGCAGUGGGUGCUCCGACGGCUGCAGAGCGCCCAGAUACCAAUAGAGCUGCAAGCCACCAGAGACCGAGAGAGAGGUCUGGACAAGCCUCCCAUAGUCCGCCACUACGGACCGGUCCGGUCCCACUAUAGAAACACGAGGGCCGUCGUAGACGAGCAGCGCCCCUUCGUCCUCGUCCAUGGGAUGCCCCAGAUCCCUCAGGUACACCGAGAGGACCCGUCCGAACGGAAACUUCACUACGGAACCCCGGACGGCUCCUCGGUCGUCUAUUACCCGUCCGGGGGCGUGGCGGUGUGCCAGACCGGAUCGGGUUUGCCCUGCGGAGGCUUCUACACCAACGUGUUCAGCGACCGCCCGAGCCCCGCGGUCAUCGCUAGCAUGACCGCGUUCGGUCGCGGUGCUGCCACGCAUGCCGUCAGUGGGGUCGUCUCGGCUCUUUGGGACCGAGCUGGGGGGAAGCUUUGUGGCCCGGACGGCACCGUGACCAAAGAGUGGUCCUGGCUGGGAGGUUCGGGCUCCAAGGAGAGGGUUCUCAUACAGGUCUCAGAUUCAAUCUCUGUCAAACUACUGAAUGGCACUUCUGGCCUGCUCCGCUUCAAGUGUCAAGGAGAAACGAUCCAACUUCCUCUCUCGGCCCUGUCCAGCAUGCCCCCGCCCACAGACACGGUGUAUGUGGAGCCCAACCAGAGGUUAAUGUCCCGCAAGGAGCCAAUGCUUCCAAAGAGGAGGGUUCCUGGGCACAGUGCAGAGAGCAGGCUACUGCCCGUCCAAACCCCGUCCCUGCGCCAUCAGGAGGUGCUCCAGAUGGUGGGGGAGCUGGAGGGGCCAGG